GCCCCUGUAGUUCAAUGGAUAGAACGGCUCACUCCUAACGAGCUGAUCCAGGUCCGAUUCCUGGUGGGGGCA
rnacentral:tRNA from 4 species